AAAAUCUAUAUAUACAUUUUUGCAGCCAUUUUAGCAAAUAAAUCUUAGAGUUGGACUUAUUUACAACCAACUGCCAUUAGCAUUAA
rnacentral:sRNA from 1 species